CCUAGCGGCGGACGGGUGAGUAAUGCUUAGGAAUCUGCCUAUUAGUGGGGGACAACAUUCCGAAAGGGAUGCUAAUACCGCAUACGUCCUACGGGAGAAAGCAGGGGAUCACUUGUGACCUUGCGCUAAUAGAUGAGCCUAAGUCGGAUUAGCUAGUUGGUGGGGUAAAGGCCUACCAAGGCGACGAUCUGUAGCGGGUCUGAGAGGAUGAUCCGCCACACUGGGACUGAGACACGGCCCAGACUCCUACGGGAGGCAGCAGUGGGGAAUAUUGGACAAUGGGGGGAACCCUGAUCCAGCCAUGCCGCGUGUGUGAAGAAGGCCUUAUGGUUGUAAAGCACUUUAAGCGAGGAGGAGGCUACUUUGGUUAAUACCCAGAGAUAGUGGACGUUACUCGCAGAAUAAGCACCGGCUAACUCUGUGCCAGCAGCCGCGGUAAUACAGAGGGUGCGAGCGUUAAUCGGAUUUACUGGGCGUAAAGCGUGCGUAGGUGGCUAAUUAAGUCAAAUGUGAAAUCCCCGAGCUUAACUUGGGAAUUGCAUUCGAUACUGGUUAGCUAGAGUAUGGGAGAGGAUGGUAGAAUUCCAGGUGUAGCGGUGAAAUGCGUAGAGAUCUGGAGGAAUACCGAUGGCGAAGGCAGCCAUCUGGCCUAAUACUGACACUGAGGUACGAAAGCAUGGGGAGCAAACAGGAUUAGAUACCCUGGUAGUCCAUGCCGUAAACGAUGUCUACUAGCCGUUGGGGUCUUUGAGACUUUAGUG
rnacentral:rRNA from 1 species